AUAAGCAAUUUAUACGGUGAAACUGCGAAUGGCUCAUUAAAUCAGUUAUCGUUUAUUUGAUAGUACCUUACUACAUGGAUACCUGUGGUAAUUCUAGAGCUAAUACAUGCUAAAAACCUCGACUUCGGAAGGGGUGUAUUUAUUAGAUAAAAAACCAAUGCCCUUCGGGGCUCCUUGGGGAAUCAUAAUAACUUAACGAAUCGCAUGGCCUUGCGCCGGCGAUGGUUCAUUCAAAUUUCUGCCCUAUCAACUUUCGAUGGUAGGAUAGUGGCCUACCAUGGUGGCAACGGGUAACGGGGAAUUAGGGUUCGAUUCCGGAGAGGGAGCCUGAGAAACGGCUACCACAUCCAAGGAAGGCAGCAGGCGCGCAAAUUACCCAAUCCCGACACGGGGAGGUAGUGACAAUAAAUACUGAUACGGGGCUCUUUUGGGUCUCGUAAUUGGAAUGAGUACAAUCUAAAUCCCUUAACGAGGAACAAUUGGAGGGCAAGUCUGGUGCCAGCAGCCGCGGUAAUUCCAGCUCCAAUAGCGUAUAUUAAAGUUGUUGCAGUUAAAAAGCUCGUAGUUGAACCUUGGGUCUGGCUGGCCGGUCCGCCUCACCGCGAGUACUGGUCCGGCUGGACCUUUCCUUCUGGGGAACCUCAUGGCCUUCACUGGCUGUGGGGGGAACCAGGACUUUUACUGUGAAAAAAUUAGAGUGUUCAAAGCAGGCCUUUGCUCGAAUACAUUAGCAUGGAAUAAUAGAAUAGGACGUGCGGAUCUAUUUUGUUGGUUUCUAGGACCGCCGUAAUGAUUAAUAGGGGAUAGUCGG
rnacentral:rRNA from 1 species